rnacentral:rRNA from 1 species
GACGUAGGGCGCGAGCGUUGUCCGGAUUUAUUGGGCGUAAAGAGCUCGUAGGCGGUUUGUCGCGUCUGCUGUGAAAAUCCAGGGCUUAACCCUGGACCUGCAGUGGGUACGGGCAGACUAGAGUGCGGUAGGGGAGAUCGGAAUUCCUGGUGUAGCGGUGAAAUGCGCAGAUAUCAGGAGGAACACCGGUGGCGAAGGCGGAUCUCUGGGCCGUAACUGACGCUGAGGAGCGAAAGCAUGGGGAGCGAACAGGA